AAAAAAAUGACGGUACCUGAGGAAUAAGCAUCGGCUAACUCCGUGCCAGCAGCCGCGGUAAUACGGAGGAUGCAAGCGUUAUCCGGAAUGAUUGGGCGUAAAGCGUCCGCAGGUGGUGAAUCAAGUCUGCUGUUAAAGGUCGGGGCUCAACCCCGAACARGCGGUGGAAACUGCAAWGCUAGAGUGCGGUAGGGGCAGAGGGAAUUCCUGGUGUAGCGGUGAAAUGCGUAGAGAUCAGGAAGAACACCGGUGGCGAAA
rnacentral:rRNA from 1 species